CCUACGGGUGGCAGCAGUGAGGAAUAUUGGUCAAUGGGCGAAAGCCUGAUCCAGCCAAGUCGCGUGAAGGAAGAAGGAUCUAUGGUUUGUAAACUUCUUUUAUAGGGGAAUAAAGUGAGGCACGUGUUGAUUUUUGCAUGUCCCCUAUGAAUAAGCAUCGGCUAACUCCGUGCCAGCAGCCGCGGUAAUACGGAGGAUGCGAGCGUUAUCCGGAUUUAUUGGGUUUAAAGGGUGCGUAGGUGGUUGUUUAAGUCAGCGGUGAAAGUUUGUGGCUCAACCAUAAAAUUGCCGUUGAAACUGGUAGACUUGAGUGUAUUUGAGGUAGGCGGAAUGCGUGGUGUAGCGGUGAAAUGCAUAGAUAUCACGCAGAACUCCGAUUGCGAAGGCAGCUUACUAAGCUAUAACUGACACUGAAGCACGAAAGCGUGGGGAUCAAACAGGAUUAGAUACCCGAGUAGUC
rnacentral:rRNA from 1 species